GAGNUCCCUUCGGGGACGCUAAGACAGGUGGUGCAUGGCUGUCGUCAGCUCGUGUCGUGAGAUGUUGGGUUAAGUCCCGCAACGAGCGCAACCCUUGUUAUUAGUUGCCAGCAUUAAGUUGGGCACUCUAAUGAGACUGCCGGUGACAAACCGGAGGAAGGUGGGGAUGACGUCAAGUCAUCAUGCCCCUUAUGACCUGGGCUACACACGUGCUACAAUGGGCAGUACAACGAGAAGCGAGCCUGCGAAGGCAAGCGAAUCUCUGAAAGCUGUUCUCAGUUCGGACUGCAGUCUGCAACUCGACUGCACGAAGCUGGAAUCGCUAGUAAUCGCGNAUCAGC
rnacentral:rRNA from 1 species